rnacentral:lncRNA from 1 species
CAAGAAGAUGGAAUUAAGGUUUUGCCUCCUAAGUCACCAAAAAGUAUGCCUGAAUGGCAAAGAAUAGCUGAGUUUUAUGUUGAAAAACCUCAACUGAAAUUACUAGGAGAGAAGGCUAAACUUCAUCAGCCGUCUCUGAAAAUGUUUUGGAUGCCAGCUCCACAAAAGUUCUCAGCUCCCCUCUCUGUGAUGAAGAAAAUCUUAUUUCCAAAGUAUGANAGCAAUAUGAUUAGUGGAGUUAUAUGUGAAGACUUCUCUUGCGAUCUUCGGGACGAAGAAGAAGUGGAAUCUGAAUUUGACUUUGACUUUUCUAGUACUAAAGUUGGUGCAAGGUCUCAUUCCUGCCCGGGACGGUUAUUUGCUGAAAGUGAAACAUUACAGGAAAGUUUAAUUAAACGAUCUGCCAGUGCACCAGAAUUGUCUUGGCACAAAUAUAAAACAGGUUUGAAGAUUUCUGCAGAUUUCAAAACCACUAUGGAAGAGAUUGAUGUUAUGAAGAAGUACAUCCCUUCUCCAGAAAUUAAGACAAUAAUGCAGAAGCCUGAACUUCCUUCAAAAAUGUUUAAGAAAAUCUCUCCUAGUCCUAUGCUCCAGAAAAUUUCUCUUAAUAAAGAAAAGGAUUAUGCUGAAGAUACAGUAAAAGAGGAAAAAAAACCAGAAACAGCAUCUGGUCAACCUGUUCGUCAGACUGUUUCUGGUCUUGCUGAAGAAUCUCGAAAAGCUGGUAUUAAAUACAUUGUUUUUCCAAAGACAACACGAAGGAGGGUAUCAUCAAAAUCAGGAAAACAUGUUUCUCGUCGCAUAUUAGCAACAGUAUGUGACAAAUUAAAAGAACCUCCUAGGAUUCUUAAAAGGUUG